rnacentral:lncRNA from 1 species
AUUCUGGGGUGUGGCCAAGUACACAAAAUGCCUCUUCAGAAAACCAUCUUCAUGUUAAAAGGAUGCUACAACUUUCUUUCUCUAGAAUUCAGGGUCUACUGAAUGCUAACUACCACUAGAUGAGUCACCGCAAGGUGCAGUGCCUGAAUUGUGUUCCCAGAUUAAGGCUGACAUUUAAUUGCAUGCAGAACUACAAACAUGCAACUGUGAGACAGACUGAACACAAAAGAACCAAGCUGGUCUGAAGGAUGUUGCUGUGAGAAGUAAAUGGCAAACAUAAAUUAACUGCUCAUCACCUGACUUAGGCAUAAAUCACGACCUUACAUGCUACACACAUAUGAAUGAAUAUAUUUCUAAUGAUGUUUCUCAUUAGAACGCAAGAUCCCUAGAAGCAGCUAAAGUUUUUGCUAUUUUCUGCAGGAUGACCACAGUGUACAACAGUAUCUGAUAACCAGUCCAUAAUGUCUGUUGAAGGACUAGUUGAAUAAUCAAGUACUACAGAAUACAGAUGUGAGUCAAAUGA